UAUCAUUAUGAUGUACUUUGCGUGUUACAGUGUGUGCAGCAGCAGUUGCCUUCUUUCAUUAAGCUGGUACAUGGGAAUGAAGAGUAUUGGGUCUGAGCA